UACAGAGGUCUCAAGCGUUGUUCGGAUUCAUUGGGCGUAAAGGGUGCGUAGGCGGCGCGGUAAGUCGGGUGUGAAAUCUUGGAGCUUAACUCCGAAACUGCAUUCGAUACUGCCGUGCUUGAGGACUGGAGAGGAGACUGGAAUUUACGGUGUAGCGGUGAAAUGCGUAGAUAUCGUAAGGAAGACCAGUGGCGAAGGCAGCCCCCUGGGCUGAGAUUGACGCUCAGGCACGAAAGCGUGGGGAGCAAACAGG
rnacentral:rRNA from 1 species